GAUGAAUUCAGAUAGCCUCUACGAUCUGUCAUCUAUGAAGGCACAACUCCCUGUCAAGAAAGGAUUAUCCAAAUACUACGACGGAAAGUCUCAAUCUUUUGCAUGUAUGUCUGAGGUGAGAUGCCUAGAGGAUCUACGCAAGAAGGAGAAUCCAUACAAGAAGAUCAAAUCAUCCAAGAGCUAUGUAGCACUGGAUGGGAACCAGGAAGCUUGUCAUAUACCUGGC
rnacentral:misc_RNA from 1 species